rnacentral:misc_RNA from 1 species
AACACUGUUAACCUGCGGUACCUGCGGAGGGAUCAUUACCGAGUUUACAACUCCCAAACCCCUGUGAACAUACCUAUACGUUGCCUCGGCGGAUCAGCCCGCGCCCUGUAAAAAGGGACGGCCCGCCCGAGGACCCCUAAACUCUGUUUUUAGUGGAACUUCUGAGUAAAACAAACAAAUAAAUCAAAACUUUUAACAAUGGAUCU